rnacentral:tRNA from 1 species
UAGGGUGUAGUGUAUUAAGCAUAUCUCAUUUACACUGAGAAGGACUUUUAUUUAAGCGCUCUAA